rnacentral:lncRNA from 1 species
UUGCCUGUGCUUUAAUAUAUGAUGAUUUUAGAUGUAUUGAACUUUUCAUCCUCACCUGGGUCACAGCCUAAAGAGGAGAAGAUGUGAUGGUGGCAAACAUAACUUUCUGGAGCGGCUUCAAGGGGUUGCACACCUGUUGUCAGAGGUAUCAUUGUUUUCUUUCUCACUUCUUGUUGUUCUCCAUCUAAAACAAUUCGCCUUAGUCCGUAAGAUAACUCAUGGUAUUGGAUUGCCAAACUCGGCCUACCAUGAGGAUUGCUUGCUAGAAUUUACUGGCAUUAAUAACUUCAGCUCGUCCCCUGCC